AAAAAGAGAAGAAUUGCAAUAUUAUAUGAUUUAAAUUCUUCUCUUUUUCUUCAUACGAACACUUCUCAAGACUGGUCAAUUAUGUUCAUUACAUCCCAUAAAGACCAGUUUUAUUUGCCAAACAAAGGGGAAAAAACAAAAUUAAAAAUUAAAACAAAAUCACAAUUAUCUACAGGCAGAUGGUGACAGGAUAAGUUUUCAGCAGCUCAAACACAGAAAAUUCACCUCACAUUCCUUUUUUACAUAAAAACAUGUUGUCCUACAUGAUCCUCUGAA
rnacentral:misc_RNA from 1 species